CGAGCCUGACGGUACCGGGUGAGGAAGCACCGGCUAACUCCGUGCCAGCAGCCGCGGUAAUACGGGGGGUGCGAGCGUUGUCCGGAAUCACUGGGCGUAAAGGGCGCGUAGGUGGUUUGAUAAGGGUGUGGUGAAAGUCCGGGGCUCAACCCCGGAUCUGCCGUGCCGACUGUCAAACUCGAGGACUGUAGAGGCAGACGGAAUUCCGGGUGUAGCGGUGGAAUGCGUAGAGAUCCGGAGGAAGACCGGUGGCGAAGGCGGUCUGCUGGGCAGUUUCUGACACUGAGGCGCGACAGCGUGGGGAGCAAACAGGAUUAGAUACCCUGGUAGUCCACGCCGUAAACGAUGGGUACUAGGUGCCUGGGGGAGCGACCCUCUGGGUGCCGGCGCUAACGCAGGAAGUACCCCGCCUGGGGAGUACGACCGCAAGGUUGAAACUCAAAGGAAUUGACGGA
rnacentral:rRNA from 1 species